GAUCAUGGCUCAGGACGAACGCUGGCGGCGCGCCUAACACAUGCAAGUCGAACGGAGUUGAGAGGAGCUUGCUUUUCUCAACUUAGUGGCGAACGGGUGAGUAACGCGUGAGUAACCUGCCCUGGAGUGGGGGACAACAGUUAGAAAUGACUGCUAAUACCGCAUAAGCGCACAGUACUGCAUGGUACAGUGUGAAAAACUCCGGUGGUAUGAGGUGGAUCCGCGUCUGAUUAG
rnacentral:rRNA from 1 species